UUGUGAAUAUUCUCACUGCUCUGAUUUUGUAGUAAUCCAGAUAGGCUAACCAUUCGCUAUAUUAAGACUAUGCGUGUGUCCCCAGACUUAGGUCUUUUCUUUCCCUUGGUCUGCUUUGACGAAUGCUGGUGGGAACC
ensembl:snoRNA SNORA72 Small nucleolar RNA SNORA72